ACUGAGUGGCAGCUACCAGGGCUGAUUGAAAGAUGCCAGGGGAGAAGUCGCCCUGACUCUGCUGCCCAUCCUGCUCCCUCCGCCUGUGUUUAAAAAGGGCAGGAAAUUGGUCCGGGCGAGUAUUCAGGAGGUGAAGAGAGCCUUCCUCGAUGUUAAGCCCGUCGGAGCUAACAUGGUGGAAUACUUGCAGCAGGCAGAAUCGCCUCCCCAUUUGUGCUGCUGCUCACAGAGCCUCUUGUUCUAUGUAUAUAUCACUCUCUCAUAGCUGUCCCCCUCACUUGUUCUUAAAAUGUUAUUUUUUUUGUACAUAAUUUGUUCAUAUGUGAAGGAAAUGUUGUGAGUUGUUAUAUUUGUAUGUUCUGGAAAUGUUGAAUUUUUUGAAAUAUUUUAUUGUUACAUUGGUGUCAUUAUCAUUGUAAUAUAUUAUUAAUAGUAUUAGCAUACAAUAAAAAUAAAUAAAUAAUUAAAAUAUAUAUAUAUAUAUAU